AACGAACGCUGGCGGCAUGCCUAAUACAUGCAAGUCGAACGAGAUCUUCGGAUCUAGUGGCGCACGGGUGCGUAACGCGUGGGAAUCUGCCCUUGGGUUCGGAAUAACUUCUGGAAACGGAAGCUAAUACCGGAUGAUGACGUAAGUCCAAAGAUUUAUCGCCCAAGGAUGAGCCCGCGUAGGAUUAGGUAGUUGGUGAGGUAAAGGCUCACCAAGCCGACGAUCCUUAGCUGGUCUGAGAGGAUGAUCAGCCACACUGGGACUGAGACACGGCCCAGACUCCUACGGGAGGCAGCAGUAGGGAAUAUUGGACAAUGGGCGAAAGCCUGAUCCAGCAAUGCCGCGUGAGUGAUGAAGGCCUUAGGGUUGUAAAGCUCUUUUACCCGGGAUGAUAAUGACAGUACCGGGAGAAUAAGCUCCGGCUAACUCCGUGCCAGCAGCCGCAGUAACAC
rnacentral:rRNA from 1 species